CUGGCUCAGAUUGAACGCUGGCGGCAGGCCUAACACAUGCAAGUCGAGCGGUAGCACAGAGAGCUUGCUCUCGGGUGACGAGCGGCGGACGGGUGAGUAAUGUCUGGGAAACUGCCUGAUGGAGGGGGAUAACUACUGGAAACGGUAGCUAAUACCGCAUAACGUCGCAAGACCAAAGUGGGGGACCUUCGGGCCUCAUGCCAUCAGAUGUGCCCAGAUGGGAUUAGCUGGUAGGUGGGGUAACGGCUCACCUAGGCGACGAUCCCUAGCUGGUCUGAGAGGAUGACCAGCCACACUGGAACUGAGACACGGUCCAGACUCCUACGGGAGGCAGCAGUGGGGAAUAUUGCACAAUGGGCGCAAGCCUGAUGCAGCCAUGCCGCGUGUGUGAAGAAGGCCUUCGGGUUGUAAAGCACUUUCAGCGGGGAGGAAGGCGGUGAGGUUAAUAACCUCAUCGAUUGACGUUACCCGCAGAAGAAGCACCGGCUAACUCCGUGCCAGCAGCCGCGGUAAUACGGAGGGUGCAAGCGUUAAUCGGAAUUACUGGGCGUAAAGCGCACGCAGGCGGUCUGUCAAGUCGGAUGUGAAAUCCCCGGGCUCAACCUGGGAACUGCAUUCGAAACUGGCAGGCUAGAGUCUUGUAGAGGGGGGUAGAAUUCCAGGUGUAGCGGUGAAAUGCGUAGAGAUCUGGAGGAAUACCGGUGGCGAAGGCGGCCCCCUGGACAAAGACUGACGCUCAGGUGCGAAAGCGUGGGGAGCAAACAGGAUUAGAUACCCUGGUAGUCCACGCUGUAAACGAUGUCGAUUUGGAGGUUGUGCCCUUGAGGCGUGGCUUCCGGAGCUAACGCGUUAAAUCGACCGCCUGGGGAGUACGGCCGCAAGGUUAAAACUCAAAUGAAUUGACGGGGGCCCGCACAAGCGGUGGAGCAUGUGGUUUAAUUCGAUGCAACGCGAAGAACCUUACCUGGUCUUGACAUCCACAGAACUUUCCAGAGAUGGAUUGGUGCCUUCGGGAACUGUGAGACAGGUGCUGCAUGGCUGUCGUCAGCUCGUGUUGUGAAAUGUUGGGUUAAGUCCCGCAACGAGCGCAACCCUUAUCCUUUGUUGCCAGCGGUUCGGCCGGGAACUCAAAGGAGACUGCCAGUGAUAAACUGGAGGAAGGUGGGGAUGACGUCAAGUCAUCAUGGCCCUUACGACCAGGGCUACACACGUGCUACAAUGGCAUAUACAAAGAGAAGCGACCUCGCGAGAGCAAGCGGACCUCAUAAAGUAUGUCGUAGUCCGGAUUGGAGUCUGCAACUCGACUCCAUGAAGUCGGAAUCGCUAGUAAUCGUAGAUCAGAAUGCUACGGUGAAUACGUUCCCGGGCCUUGUACACACCGCCCGUCACACCAUGGGAGUGGGUUGCAAAAGAAGUAGGUAGCUUAACCUUCGGG
rnacentral:rRNA from 1 species